rnacentral:misc_RNA from 1 species
AUUGAGGGCCCUGUACCUCGUCUAGAUACUCGCUUGUGCAUGUUGUUCUCUAUCAUAACACUUGUCAUUGCCGAUCUUAUUGAGGAAGAGGAAAGUGAAGCAUGUGAUGAAAUUGAAUCCAGCAUAGGCAGGCAUAUGAAAAAGCAGGUUGAAGGCACACGGCGUGAAGAUGUAAUCUCUUGUUUACAGAACCUGGGUGAUUAUCAAAGCUUGCUAACUCCACCUCAGGCA